AGGAUCAUUAUUGGAAUGAAAUCUCUAGCAAGAGGCUGUUGCUGUCUAGUAAUGUGCACGCCUUUUGUGGAAAAAUAAACCCUUAGCAGCAACUUGUUUCGAUCAAGUGACCUCAGGGUUAUGGGCCCUGCGCGCUUCCACUGCGCCAUGCUGCUGUGUGGGGACUUAUUUCUUCUCCCUGUGCACCACUUGUAGACUUUGUCUGUCUAUGAAUCACAUAACCUUAUGAAUGCAUCUUUGUGCCCUUUAUUAUAUACAACUUUCAACAAUGGAUCUCUUGGCUCUCGCAUCGAUGAAGAACGCAGCGAAAUGCGAUAAGUAGUGUGAAUUGCAGAAUUCAGUGAAUCAUCGAAUCUUUGAACGCAUCUUGCGCUCUUUGGUAUUCCGAAGAGCAUGCCUGUUUGAGUGUCAUUAAUCUCUCAAAACUUCAUUUUUGUGAAGUAAUUGGAUAUUGGGAGUCAUUGCUGGCGGCUGGUUGAAGCUCAGCUCUCCUUAAAUUCCUUGAGGAACGAAAUGUUGGUGUGUGAUAAUAAUUGUCUAUGCCAAACAA
rnacentral:rRNA from 1 species